AGGUCGUGGCGAGGGAAGGAGGGUCGUGUCGCUCGCCCAAGAAGUGUAAAGGUGUAAUAUAAUCGGAUGUUUCGUAUGUCAAAAAAUGCACGAGGGAGAUUCUUCGUCUGCGUGACUGUGGCGUGUGGACGUACCUAAUUUUUUUUUUUUUUAA